ACAACCAUAUCAUGUUGAAACACUGGUUCUCAUAUGAUCGCCGAAGUUAAGCAACAUUGAGCACAGUCAGUACCUAGCUGGGUGACCUCUGGAGAAUAUCAG